CUAAAAGACUGUUACGAAGAAAGAAAUCCUUACAAGCUGAAGAAGAGAAAAGACUGAAAGCAGCUUCUCAGCAUCAGAUCUGUUCUCUUCGUUAUCUUCUUGCCCUCUCAACUCGCUCUCUCACCCGCUCCCCAACUCGCAUUUCUUCGCUGAAUCGACUCGCUUAACGUCCACUGUGUCUAUCUAUCCAUUUUCAGAUAGGCCUCGGAGGUUGAUUGUUUUCGCUGCAUUGGAAGGACCGAUCGCGGGAAUGUUGAUUUUCUGUCUAGUUAGGCUGCUGUUCUGGUGACGGACUGGAUUUUCAGGCGAAUUCGCCGGUGGUGCUCCGCCGGAGAAGAUGUUCAGGUCGGCGAGAUGGAGGAACGAGAAGAACAAGAUCAAAGCUGUGUUCAAAUUGCAGUUCCAUGCUACUCAGAUUUCGCAGCUGAAUGUGGAGGCAUUGGUGAUAUCUGUGGUCCCUGGGGACGUUGGAAAGCCAACGGCACGGUUAGAGAAGGGUAUAAUUCGAGAGGGAAGUUUUCAGUGGGAAUAUCCAGUCUAUGAAACCGUGAAAUUUACUCAAGAUGCAAGAACAGGGAAGAUCAAUGAGAGAAGAUACCAUUUCAUUGUCUCAGCAGGAUUGUCAAAAAACAGUUUCGUUGGAGAAGUUUCAAUUGAUCUUGCCAAAUAUGCAGAGGCUACAAAAGCUUCCACCGUUUCUCUUCCCCUGAGGAAUUCAAAAUCUAAUGGGGUUUUGCAUGUUUCAAUUCAGAGGCUGCAGGCAAACAUCAAUCAAAGAGAUGUGGAGGAAACUGAAAAUGAAAACAUCAAAACCAGGAAUAGAACUCUGAACACCCUCUUAAGCAAUAGUGAAGCGGAAGACAUUAAGAGCAAUUCGAAUGAAGUUGGACUACUAAACAAUUCCGUCCACAAUCCUGAAGUAAAUGGUGACCGCGGAACAUCAAGCGGAUCUGACAUUACAUUGUCAAGUUCUGAGAGCAGCUCUGGGCAUAACACCCCACGUGAACUUGGAUCAAGAACUAAUAACUUCCUACAGGACUCAACUAGCUUCCUAUCAUCUCGGACCCUUGCCUCAGCUCCUCAUAAAGCAAAUGCAAAUGCCUCUGCAACAAUCUAUGAAGAGCAUCAGCAAUCACAAUGGGAGUGGUCAGCAGAUUCUGAUCAUGGAAUUACUGAUAAUUCAAUAAACAGUUCUCUAGACAACCUUACAAGAGAAAGGUCUCAACACACUUCAGAUAUUGAGAUUGAAAAGCUCAAGUCUGAAAUUAUUGCUUUGGCUAGACAAGUAGAUUUGUCUGAGUUGGAAUUGCAAACUCUUCGAAAGCAAAUUGUAAAAGAGAGUAAAAGGGGGCAGGAUCUCUUCAGAGAAGUCACAGGCUUGAAAGAGGAGAGAGAUGUUCUCAAGGCAGAAUGCGAGAAACUCAAAGCCUUUCACAAACGUAUAGAGGAGGCAAAAAACAAAGACAAGUUGCAGUUUGAGAGCGGAGAUGCACGAGUCCUUCUUGAAGAAAUCAGACAAGAAUUAAAUUAUGAAAAGGACAUGAAUGCCAAUCUUCGAUUACAACUGCAGAAGACCCAAGAAUCAAAUGCUGAGCUAAUGCUUGCUGUGAAAGACCUUGAAGAAAUGUUAGAGCAGAAAAAUAGGGAAACAUCUGAUCCUGCAAACAGAUCAAGAUUCUCUGAGAAUGCUAUGUCAAGAAGUGAGACUGAUGAUGAUGAAGAGCAAAAGGCAUUGGAAGAGCUUGUUAAGAAGCACAGAGAUGCUAAAGAAGCAUACCUGCUGGAGCAAAGGAUCAUGGAUCUCAGCAGUGAAAUAGAGAUCUAUAGGAGAGAUAAAGAUGAACUAGAGAUGCAAAUGGAGCAGCUUGCACUUGACUAUGAGAUACUGAAGCAAGAGAACCAUGACAUGUCAUAUAAAUUAGAGCAAAGUCAGCUGCAAGACCAACUGAAGUUGCAGUAUGAAUGCUCUUCUUUUGCCAAUAUAAAUGAACUAGAAGUCCAGAUUGAGAGCUUGGAAAAUGAACUCAAGAAUCAGUCCAAAGAAUACUCUGAAUCUUUGGUGGCCAUAAAUGAACUUCAAACCUACAUCAAGAGCUUGGAGGAUGAACUGGAGAAGCAAACUGAAGGAUUUGAAGCUGAUCUCGAAGCUCUAACUUGUGCAAAAGUUGAGCAGGAGCAAAGAGCCAUCAGGGCAGAGGAAGCCUUACGAAAGACAAGAUGGAAGAAUGCUAAUACAGCUGAAAAGCUACAGGAGGAAUUUAAAAAACUGUCCAUGCAAAUGACCUCUACAUUUGAUGCAAAUGAGAAUGUGGCUAUGAAAGCGUUGGCAGAAGCUAAUGAACUACGUAUGCAGAAAAGUCAACUUGAAGAAAUGCUUCAGAAAGCUAAUGAAGAUCUCCAAUCAGCUAGGGAUGAUUAUGAGACAAAACUGCACGACCUUUCCAGCCAAUUAAAUUUGAAAAUGGAUCAGAUAGAACAUAUGUUGGUGGAAAUUGAUGAUAAAAGAAAGCAGCUGGAAAAUCAAAAAGCGCACGAGGAAGAACUUAUCGGAUCUUUCUCUCAGGAAAUCGUGAGGCUAAAAAGUGAGCUUGAAAAGUUCAAAAUAGAAAAUAAUAUCCUUUCUGAGCGAGCAGAACAGAAAGACAAUAUGGGGGUUGAAUUGGAACAGUUGAAGGCGUCAAUUAAGCACACUGAAAAGCUGGUACAGAAAGGAAAUAUAGAAAGAAAUGAACUGGUGAGUACCCUUGCUUUGACGAAGAAGGAAGGAGAGAAGUUGAUGGAGGAGUUACAAAGAAUGAAAUCUCUUAAGGAUGAGAAGGAGACAGCAAUGGAUCUCUUACAGACAGAAGUAGAAACUCUGAAAGCUCAGUCUAAUGACUUGAAACAUUCUCUCUUUGAGGAUGAGUUGGAGAAAGAAAAACUUAGAAAGCAGGUAUUCCAGUUAAAGGGUGAUCUGAAGAAGAAGGAUGAUGCUAUCACUAGUAUCGAGAAGAAGCUCAAGGAAAGCAGCAAACUCACAGCAGUUUCUGAUAAUACAAAAACUGCUCUAAGAAACAAUAAGUCUGCUCCAGUUCCUCAUGGCUCUGAAGAGGCAGCAAUUCUGUGGGAGAAAAUAAGAUUGCUUGAGGGACAGAUAAAGCUAAAGGAAGCUGCUUUAGAAACCUCGGCAAAUUCAUUUUUGAAAAAGGAAAGGGAUCUUUUAAAUAAAAUUGAAGAGUUAGAGCAUAGAGUAGAAGAACUCAAUCAAAACAGUGCAAUAUUCUUUGACAGCCAACACCAAGAGUUACCUGAGGACAACAAUGGCGUUACUUCAAAUGGUGAUUUAUCUAAAGAUAUAAGAAGCACAGAUGAUUACCUGAGUAGUACAGCAUGGAUAUCUGGAGACAAUGGAAAUGCAAAAUCAUUAGUCAAGAGCAAUUGUGCCAUUAUAUCAGGGGAAGAACUGAAAACCAGUGUCAUCAGCAAUGGAGAUUGCAAUACUAAUGAAUUAAUCAGUGAAUUAGAAUCAUUGAAGGAGAGAAACAAAUCAAUGGAAAAUGAACUGAAAGAGAUGCAAGAGAGAUAUUCAGAAAUGAGUCUCAAAUUUGCAGAGGUAGAAGGUGAAAGACAACAGCUUGUGAUGACAGUACGAAGCCUAAAGAAUGCCAAGAAGAGCUAAUCAUUUUUCUUGAUAUGCAGAAAACUACAUACUGUGAAUAGCUAAGUGGCUACAUGUUCCCACACUAAAAUUCUAUAUGUGACAGUUCUAUCGGAGUGAAUAAUCAAUUUGUACAAAAUUAAUAGCAAUCUGAAUGUAGGAUCUUAGUUGCCUUUCUGUAACUUCCAAUAUUAAUUUAGUUAAGCUGACCCUGGAAAUUAUGAUAAAGCCAUUAGCUUGUAAAUAAGUCUACUAAAGCUUCUCUUAAAUGCUUCCUAUUUCGAAGGGGAGCCUGUGGGCAAUUCAGAGUUGCCCAGUGCUGCAGCCCGUGAGGUAAAUCUGCUAUCCAAUUUCUAUGGACUUCUGAUUUUAACCUGUCUGAAGUUCAUGCAUUAUUCAAAGUAAACUUCUCCA